rnacentral:tRNA from 1 species
GAGGGUAUAGCUCAAGUGGUAGAGUGAAUGCCUAGCAUGCAUGCUGUCCUGAGUUCAAUCCCCAGUACCUCCU